GGUAGAGAGAAGCUUGCUUCUCUUGAGAGCGGCGGACGGGUGAGUAAUGCCUAGGAAUCUGCCUAGUGGUGGGGGAUAACGUUCGGAAACGGACGCUAAUACCGCAUACGUCCUACGGGAGAAAGCGGGGGACCUUCGGGCCUCGCGCCAUUAGAUGAGCCUAGGUCGGAUUAGCUAGUUGGUGAGGUAAAGGCUCACCAAGGCUACGAUCCGUAACUGGUCUGAGAGGAUGAUCAGUCACACUGGAACUGAGACACGGUCCAGACUCCUACGGGAGGCAGCAGUGGGGAAUAUUGGACAAUGGGCGAAAGCCUGAUCCAGCCAUGCCGCGUGUGUGAAGAAGGUCUUCGGAUUGUAAAGCACUUUAAGUUGGGAGGAAGGGUAGUAACUUAAUACGUUGCUACUUUGACGUUACCGACAGAAUAAGCACCGGCUAACUUCGUGCCAGCAGCCGCGGUAAUACGAAGGGUGCAAGCGUUAAUCGGAAUUACUGGGCGUAAAGCGCGCGUAGGUGGUUUGUUAAGUUGAAUGUGAAAUCCCCGGGCUCAACCUGGGAACUGCAUCCAAAACUGGCAAGCUAGAGUACAGUAGAGGGUGGUGGAAUUUCCUGUGUAGCGGUGAAAUGCGUAGAUAUAGGAAGGAACACCAGUGGCGAAGGCGACCACCUGGACUGAUACUGACACUGAGGUGCGAAAGCGUGGGGAGCAAACAGGAUUAGAUACCCUGGUAGUCCACGCCGUAAACGAUGUCAACUAGCCGUUGGGAGUCUUGAACUCUUAGUGGCGCAGCUAACGCAUUAAGUUGACCGCCUGGGGAGUACGGCCGCAAGGUUAAAACUCAAAUGAAUUGACGGGGGCCCGCACAAGCGGUGGAGCAUGUGGUUUAAUUCGAAGCAACGCGAAGAACCUUACCUGGCCUUGACAUGCUGAGAACUUUCUAGAGAUAGAUUGGUGCCUUCGGGAACUCAGACACAGGUGCUGCAUGGCUGUCGUCACCUCGUGUCCUGAGAUGUUGGGUUAAGUCCCGUAACGAGCGCAACCCUUGUCCUUAGUUACCAGCACGUAAUGGUGGGAACUCUAAGGAGACUGCCGGUGACAACCCGGAGGAAGGUGGGGAUGACGUCAGUCAUCAUGGCCUUACGGCAGGGGUACCACAUGCUUCAAUGGUCGGUACAAAGGGUGGCC
rnacentral:rRNA from 1 species